CCUACGGGUGGCAGCAGUGAGGAAUAUUGGUCAAUGGCCGUAAGGCUGAACCAGCCAAGUCGCGUGAAGGAAGAAGGAUCUAUGGUUUGUAAACUUCUUUUAUAGGGGAGUAAAGGUAGCCACGUGUGGAGAUUAGCAUGUACCCUACGAAUAAGCAUCGGCUAACUCCGUGCCAGCAGCCGCGGUAAUACGGAGGAUGCGAGCGUUAUCCGGAUUUACUGGGUGUAAAGGGUGCGCAGCUGGGAUUUUAAGUCAGCGGUGAAAGUUUGGGGCUCAACCAUGUAAUUGCAGUUGAAACUGGAUGGCUUGAGUGUGUGUGAGGUAGGCGGAAUGCGUGGUGUAGCGGUGAAAUGCAUAGAUAUAACGAAGAACUCCGAUUGCGAAGGCAGAUUACU
rnacentral:rRNA from 1 species